UCCCAUCCAUCCCUGCCCUCUGGCAGUGGGAGCCAUUCCCUGUGUCCUGUCCCUCCAUCCCUUGUCCCCAGUCCCUCUCCAGCUCUCCUGGAGCCCCUUCAGGCCCUGCAAGGGGCUCUGAGCUCUCCCUGGAGCUUCUCCUCUCCAGGGAGUGCAGUUUGACUCGGGAUAGAAAUCCAUCCUGACUUGUGUUAACCUCCCUCCCUGCACCAUCGUGCUGCAGCUGCUGAGCCCCACCAUGAGGCCUGGUCCUUUCCCCCGCUGGUGCUCUGGCAGUCAGAGCCUUCCUGGCACAGGGAUCUGGGGACAUAAAUUCCAGAUGAGCACCUUUGAUUCCCUCAGACAAUGAUAAUGCAGAGAUGAUUGACACCUACAGCUUGGGAAGAGAUGUGCUCAGCACUGAUCCCAGAGGAUGUGCCUUUCAGCAGGAAGCAGGAGAAGCAGAGCAGAUCCAUGUGCAGCCCCAGGUGUGUUCCAGGAGUUCUGGGAGCUGGGAAGAGCAUCUGUCUUUGAGCCAGGUCUGCUCCCAGAGGAGGUGGAGGACACGGCAGUGAAACUGGAUGUUGUGUUCUCACCAUAUAAGAGAGACUAAAAAUAGCUUGGAGGAGUUGUGGAAAAUCCUGUGUUCCUGAAGUAUCUUUUGGUGUCUCUUUAUCUCAGGAUAGGAUGGGUUUUUUUGGUUGGGAUUUUUUUUUUGUUUUGUUUUGGUUUUGUUUGGUUUGGUUUGUUUUUUGGGGAGGGGUGUUUGGUUUUUUUCUUAAUUUUUAGGGUGGGUU